UGGGGAAUAUUGGGCAAUGGGCGAAAGCCUGACCCAGCAACGCCGCGUGAAGGAAGAAGGUCUUCGGAUUGUAAACUUCUUUUAUGAGGGACGAAGGACGUGACGGUACCUCAUGAAUAAGCCACGGCUAACUACGUGCCAGCAGCCGCGGUAAUACGUAGGUGGCAAGCGUUAUCCGGAUUUACUGGGUGUAAAGGGCGCGUAGGCGGGGAUGCAAGUCAGAUGUGAAAUCUAUGGGCUUAACCCAUAAACUGCAUUUGAAACUGUAUCUCUUGAGUGCUGGAGAGGUAGAUGGAAUUCCUUGUGUAGCGGUGAAAUGCGUAGAUAUAAGGAAGAACACCAGUGGCGAAGGCGAUCUACUGGACAGUAACUGACGCUGAGGCGCGAGAGCGUGGGGAGCAAACAGG
rnacentral:rRNA from 1 species